rnacentral:rRNA from 1 species
AACGCGAAGAACCUUACCAGGGCUUGACAUCCUCUGUAAAAUGCAGAAAUGCAUUCCCCAUGGCAACAUGGCAGGGUGACAGGUGCUGCAUGGCUGUCGUCAGCUCGUGUCGUGAGAUGUUGGGUUAAGUCCCGCAACGAGCGCAACCCUCGUCGAGUGUUGCCAUCAUUUAGUUGGGCACUCACUCGAGACCGCCGUUGAUAAGACGGAGGAAGGUGGGGAUGACGUCAAGUCCGCAUGGCCCUUACGUCCUGGGCUACACACGUGCUACAAUGGCCGGUACAACGGGCAGCUAGUCCGCGAGGACAAGCUAAUCCCUUAAAACCGGUCUCAGUUCGGAUUGAAGGCUGCAACUCGCCUUCAUGAAGUCGGAAUCGCUAGUAACUGCAGAUCAGCUACGCUGCGGUGAAUACGUUCCCGGGCUUGUA